rnacentral:rRNA from 1 species
UGUUGAGCUUGACUCUAGUCCGACAUUGUGAAAUGACUUAAGAGGUGUAGAAUAAGUGGGAGCGCAAGCGCCGGUGAAAUACCACUACUUUUAAUGUUAUUUUACUUAUUCCGUGAAGUAGAGGCGGGGCCCAAAGCCCCACUUUCUGGAUUUAAGCGCUUCGGCGCGAUCUAGGCGGAAGACAUUGUCAGGUGGGGAGUUUG